UUACCGUGGCAACGAUGAAUAGCAGGCCUGAGAGGGUGGCCUGCCACACUGGGACUGGAACACGGCCCAGACUCCUACGGGAGGCAGCAGUGGGGAAUAUUGCGCAAUGGACGAAAGUCUGACGCAGCGACGCCGCGUGGAGGAUGAAGGUUUUCGGAUCGUAAACUCCUGUCAAGAGGGAAGAAACCUAUUAUGAAUAAUACUCAUGGUAAUUGACGGUACCUCUAGAGGAAGCACCGGCUAAUUCAGUGCCAGCAGCCGCGGUAAUACUGAAGGUGCAAGCGUUAAUCGGAAUCACUGGGCGUAAAGCGCUCGUAGGUGGCUUUGUAAGUCAGGUGUGAAAGCCCACGGCUCAACCGUGGAAUUGCACUUGAUACUGCAUCGCUAGAGUAUAGGAGAGGGAAGUGGAAUUUCUGGUGUAGGAGUGAAAUCCGUAGAGAUCAGAAGGAACACCCGUGGCGAAGGCGACUUCCUGGACUAUUACUGACACUGAGGAGCGAAAGCGUGGGGAGCAAACAGGAUUAGAUACCCUGGUAGUCCACGCCGUAAACGAUGGGUACUAGGUGUUGGGGGCUUG
rnacentral:rRNA from 1 species